rnacentral:misc_RNA from 1 species
GUUGAAAAGGAAUUUGAAGAGGCUGCUCCUAGCCUGGACAUGAUCUGUGUUUAUGGGGGGACACCAAUUUCACGCCAAAUGAGGCAGCUUGACUACGGCAUUGAUAUUGCUGUUGGAACACCUGGUCGCUUGAUUGAUCUUCUCAAUAGGGGUUCUCUAAAUUUAUCAGAAGUCAAGUUUGUUGUUCUCGAUGAAGCAGACCAGAUGCUUCAAGUAGGCUUUCAAGAGGAUGUGGAGAAGAUCUUGGAGAGGUUG